GCGCGUGUAGUUCAGUGGUAGAACGCCAUCCUGAUAAGAUGGAGGCCCUUGGUCCGAUUCCAAGCACGCGCA
rnacentral:tRNA from 1 species